AUUGAACGCUGACGGCAUGCCUUACACAUGCAAGUCGAACGGUAACAGGUCUUCGGAUGCUGACGAGUGGCGAACGGGUGAGUAAUACAUCGGAACGUGCCCAGACGUGGGGGAUAACGAGGCGAAAGCUUUGCUAAUACCGCAUACGAUCUAAGGAUGAAAGCAGGGGACCGCAAGGCCUUGCGCGUUUGGAGCGGCCGAUGGCAGAUUAGGUAGUUGGUGGGAUAAAAGCUUACCAAGCCGACGAUCUGUAGCUGGUCUGAGAGGACGACCAGCCACACUGGGACUGAGACACGGCCCAGACUCCUACGGGAGGCAGCAGUGGGGAAUUUUGGACAAUGGGCGAAAGCCUGAUCCAGCAAUGCCGCGUGCAGGAUGAAGGCCUUCGGGUUGUAAACUGCUUUUGUACGGAACGAAAAGGCUCUGGCUAAUACCUGGGGCACAUGACGGUACCGUAAGAAUAAGCACCGGCUUACUACGUGCCAGCAGCCGCCGUAA
rnacentral:rRNA from 1 species